AAUUUUUUUAAUUUUUUAAUUUUUUUAAUUUUAUAAACUUCGUCACAAUAUAAAUUACAUAUCUAAAUACUAUAAUGACUAUAACACAUUCCGAGCCAUCCUUACAUGUAUCGUUUUCCAGGACAAACAACUGUUAAACCAUAUUAAAACAGACUAAAACAGACAUGAAAACCGUAGAUGCAAUAUAACUCGAAAUGCACUAUAGAUCUAACAAUACAACAUUCAACAAUUUACAACAAUUGUGACAGGGUAUUCACAACAGCUUUUGGCCAAUUACUGUGAUCCCAUUAGACAACAAACAAAUUAUCUUAAACUAUACAAAGCAUUCACAUUGUCUCUUAAAAAAUUAUCAUUUAAAAACAGCAUGCAAGAGGUUUAGUGAGAUCAUGAGUCUGAUUACACUUUAAACAAAUUGUUUUCCACGAACGAGGAUCAUCUAUGUUAUAAUUAAGUUGUAAAGCAGAGAGGUAGUAGUCAAGUAAAUAUUUUUUAAAGGUAUAUAAAGAAUUAGAUUUAUUAGUUAUAAGUUUUGGUAAAGUAUUCCAGAUCCUUGUUGAUCUGAUUGUAUAUGACUGUUGGUAUGUCGCUGUAUAGCAUUUCUUCGUGCGGAAUUGGAGACAGUUUGGUUGAACAGAUCGUGUUGUUCUAACGUUCAGAUUUUGCGUAGGAAGGACUGAUCUCGGAAGAUUUAUGGCACCACAACUUACUUUAAAUAAAAACAUCAUGUCCAAGUACUCGUGCCAAUAGCUGAUGGGAAGAAGCUUCAAUUUCUUCAGUCGUUGCUCGUAACUGGCUUCACAAAGAAAAGGCAAGCCAAGGAUGUAUUUUGAAGCACGCCUUUGUACUCGUUCUAAUCGGGAGAUGAGCUCAACGGACUGUGGUGACCAAACUUGCGUUGCAUAACCGACUUGAG